CCUACGGGAGGCAGCAGUGGGGAAUAUUGCACAAUGGGCGAAAGCCUGAUGCAGCGACGCCGCGUGAGGGAUGACGGCCUUCGGGUUGUAAACCUCUUUCAGCAGGGAAGAAGCGCAAGUGACGGUACCUGCAGAAGAAGCACCGGCUAACUACGUGCCAGCAGCCGCGGUAAUACGUAGGGUGCGAGCGUUGUCCGGAAUUAUUGGGCGUAAAGAGCUCGUAGGCGGCUUGUCACGUCGGAUGUGAAAGCUCGGGGCUUAACCCCGAGUCUGCAUUCGAUACGGGCUAGCUAGAGUGUGGUAGGGGAGAUCGGAAUUCCUGGUGUAGCGGUGAAAUGCGCAGAUAUCAGGAGGAACACCGGUGGCGAAGGCGGAUCUCUGGGCCAUUACUGACGCUGAGGAGCGAAAGCGUGGGGAGCGAACAGGAUUAGAUACCCUGGUAGUCCACGCCGUAAACGUUGGGAACUAGGUGUUGGCGACAUCCCACGUCGUCGGUGCCGCAGCUAACGCAUUAAGUUCCCCGCCUGGGGAGUACGGCCGCAAGGCUAAAACUCAAAUGAAUUGACGG
rnacentral:rRNA from 1 species